rnacentral:rRNA from 1 species
AUUGAACGCUGGCGGCAGGCCUAACACCUGCACGUCGAACGAGUGGCGGACGGGUGAGUAAUGUCUGGGAAACUGCCUGAUGGAGGGGGAUAACUACUGGAAACGGUAGCUAAUAUCGCAUACCAUCGGAUGUGCCCAGAUGGGAUUAGCUAGUAGGUGGGGUAACUGCUAACCUAGGCGACGAUCCCUAGCUGGUCUGAGAGGAUGACCAGCCCAACUGGAACUGAGACACGGUCCAUACUCCUACGGGAGGCAGACGUGGGGAAUAUUGCACAAUGGGCGCAAGCCUGAUGCAGCCAUGCCGCGUGUAUGAAGAAGGCCUUCGGGUUGUAAAGUACUUUCAGCGGGGAGGCGUUACCCGCAGAAGAAGUACCGGCUAACUCCGUGCCAGCAGCCGCGGUAAUUC